rnacentral:rRNA from 1 species
AGAACGAACGCUGGCGGCGUGGCUUAGGCAUGCAAGUCGAACGGGAUCCUCCGCAAGGGGGAUCCAGUGGCGAAAGGGUGAGUAAGACUCGGGCAAUUUGUCCCCGGGACGGGAAUAGCCGCGGGAAACUGCGGGUAAUACCCGAUGGGCUCACGUGGGUUGCGACCCGCGCGAGGAAACGGUGGGGAUCCGCAAGGACCUUCCGCCCAGGGAGGAGCUCGAGGCCUAUCAGGUAGUUGGCGGGGUAACGGCCCACCAAGCCUACGACGGGUAGCCGGACUGAGAGGUCGGCCGGCCACACUGGCACUGAGACACUGGCCAGACUCCUACGGGAGGCUGCAGUCGAGAAUCUUCCGCAAUGGGCGCAAGCCUGACGGAGCGACGCCGCGUGGAGGAAGAAGGCUUCGGGUUGUAAACUCCUGUCACGACUUACGAAUUCGCUCGGGUCAACUCCGAGCGUCGACGAAGGUCGAAGGAAGCCACAGCUAACUUCGUGCCAGCAGCCGC